rnacentral:rRNA from 1 species
GGGUCAUUAGGUUGGUCGUGCCACCGGUACGUACUGGUCUCAAUGAUUCCUCCUUCCUGAAGAACCGUAAUGCCAUUAAUUUGGUGUUGCGGGGAAACAGGACUGUUACUUUGAAAAAAUUAGAGUGUUUAAAGCAAGCUAACGCUUGAAUACAUUAGCAUGGAAUAAUGAAAUAGGACGAUCGAUCCUAUUUUGUUGGUUUCUAGGAUUGACGUA